rnacentral:lncRNA from 1 species
AAUUUGAGGAUAGAGCAAAAGAUGUUUACAUGUCAAUAACAGUAAUUUACACAUAUAAGGACAUACAAAAAGUUAUCCAGAUGUUAUGUCCAGGUUCAAACAUUGAUUUUUCAUCUUUUCAACAUUUUCUAGGUAGUUGGCCGUACUGGUGUUGUCGUUAAAGUAAAAGAAGGCCGACAUUCAGGCCUUCUUUUACUUCAGGGGUCCCAACCAAUAAAGAUGUAUACUUAACUAACCUAACCCUAAAAUCUAAACCUAACCAAAAACAUCACCUUACCUUACCAUAACCAUGAAUGAACCUUAACCAGGUUGGGAACAAACCCUCUUUAUGGUGAUUAUACCUGUUUAGAGGGAUAAUCCUUCUAUAGAAUAGAGGGGUAAAAUUAUCCCUCUAUAGAGGGGUAUUUUUGUCUAGACUGGAUUUAAAUAAAAAUAGGGCAACAUUCUCUACUUAUGGCAGUAACCUGGAACAGUUGAUGCACCAAUUGAUGUACUUAAUUUAAUAUGCACAUGCCCAGUUUGAUGCUUAGGCCAACUAAAAUUAAUUAGUAGAUUUUCCUCGGGGGGGGGGGGGGGGGGCACUUGCUAUAUAAUUAGUGGUAGGGAUGAGCCGUGAAUAGUCACUUUUUCAUCUCUAUAAUAUAUGAAAAAGGGAGAAAAUUCAGAUUAAAAUAUAUCAAUAGGUUGCUAUUUAUAACUUGCUUGAUUAUAUCAUAGAUCUGAAACUAAUCAGAUGUCCGUAUUUAUUCUUGAUCGGUUAAACCACAGUCGUAAAUGCAUCAGUUAUUGUCAACCAAUUAUACGUAUUGAUUCUGAUGUGUAUUUCCACUGAUGCCAGUGAUAGAUGCAAUAAAUCCAACUAUUUUGACAUUUGCACCAAUUAGCAUUCAAAGGGUUUAUACAUAAAGCAUUGAUAAACAAUAUUUAAAGAAAUUCCAUUGUGACAGCGUCCUUUAAGAGGGAACGGCAAUGAAACUUUUUAUCAGUUUUUAAAUAAUAUUUAAACACGUUAAAAUCAGUGAAGGUGUUACACUCUGGGUGAUAUUACAUUUAUCUGACCACAGAUGUAAUACCACUAUGAUCUGACAAACGUCUUUUAUAUGUAUUGUAUUUGGAAUUGAAAUAUCUUUCAUAAUGAAAGAUGUAAAAUGGGCAAUAAGAAAAAGUGUUUAAGAUGUGACGAAUUUAUUGGAAAAGAAGGUGAAUUAUUGCGACUAUUUUGCUUCUUAACAAGUGAUGAGGCGGGAAAAUAUUGAAAUAUAUCUAUAGGUCUGUUUUUUGGUUAAUUAAUAUAUGACAAGGUAUAUAUUUUGAUUAACAAAAUAUAUGAAAGGGUGGGGUACUUGAUGUCUCAGCUGCUCACCCCUACCAAAAAGUUUGAAGUGGCCCCCCCGAGAGAUUUCAUCCAAAUUUUUUUUUAAAUGGGGCGGUGGAAGAGUUAUUUUUUAAAUUUUAUUUCAUAUGAAACCUUCUUGUCACGUGUUAUUCAUAUAUGCAAGUGUAAUAAUAAGCUUAUAUCAUGUAAAUACAUGCAUAAGGUAUUUUGUAUGAUUUUCAAAUGCUUAAUAUAAAAAAGAAGAUGUGGUAUGAUUGCCAAUGAGACAACUGUCCACAAAGAAACCAAAAAAAUGACACAUACAUUAACAACUAUAGGUCACUGUACGUCCUUCAACAAUGAGCAAAGCCCAUACCGCAUAGUCAGCUUUAAAAGGCCCCGAUAUGACAAUGUAAAACAAUUCAAAAGAGAAAACGAACGGUCUCAUUUAUGAUCCCGAUAACAAAAAGACACUAGGAACAGAUCUGAGAGUACUCGCAGUUAUCUGACAGCUAGUUCAAAGCCACUAACAACUAAUAAAAAAAAUCAUGCAAACACUUAACUAACAAUCCGUACACAUCCAACAUCAAAAUACUUUAAAUACAUAUCUCUGAUUGGCCACCACUGUUCUUCAUGUAAUUGCGGCUUUAGAAACCUAUUUUAUAGUAAACAGCAGAAACAUGGAGAAAUGCUCUCUUCAGUUGGACUACCUACACCAACUUUAUUUUGCUUUCUAAGCAAUCGUUUGUUGUCCUAAUAAAUGAAGCAAAUGCAUUGGUAUGCAACAAAAGUAUUAUAAGUACAGAAUAAAAUGAAAACUCAAACAGUGUUGAAAAAUAAGAUUGGUCCUUUUUAAAUAUGCAAGAUGCGAAUAUAAUUACAAUGUAGAAGUUUGGAGUACUAGUAGAACACAAAGUUGUUUAAUGACUAUUGUGGGUAUUGGGACAGAUGAUGUUUGCUGUUUGUCUACAAAAAUCGGAAGGCAUGGCUAAAUCUAAAUCUAAAAGCUUGCAAUGAAUUGAUAAAUUAAAAAUGUGUAUGUUUGUCGACUUUCUGAACUCAAUAUACGGUCACCAAUCUAACAAGUUCAUGUUUGUGUUAAUUCCUUUAUUCCAGUCAUGAUUUUUUGUACCAAUGUGUUCCACGAUUCUUACGCUUUUGGGUUUCAUUCACAGUCCAAAUUUUUGACACAAAGUUAUUGUAUAAAUAUAAUAAAAUCCAAGGUGUUCUAUUAAAUCACAAACAUUUGUGACAUACGGCGAUUUGCGUUCUUGGACACAACGUAUUACUCGUAACCCGAAUAUUUCAUGCCUUUCUCGUAAUCAAUCUCUAUUCUCAGGUAAAUGAUGUUGUCAUCAUAGAUCAGCAGAAUAUAUCGACUUAAUAAUUUAGUAAGAAUACUCUAAGAAAUACGAAAACCGAAAUUGUGAAACAGGAAGUUUGAUUGAAAUGAAAUGAUCGACGGUUAAACGGGAAAAAUCGGGGCGGUAAGAUUUCAGAGGGGCGGGCGGGGAUGAAAAUCUAUCAAUUAAUUUUAAUUGGCCUUAUCUGACAAAUAUAAAAUCUAUUGUUCACCAUGAUUGAAAGCUAUGGAUGACAGGUAAAUUCUACUCACUAUGCCUCACUGAACAGAAUUUCUAUUGUUAGAUUUAACAUGAAAUUUAAAGGUCAACUAUUCCUUUUGUUCUUGAUCAGGUGUUCAGAUAUGUUUACAAUAGAUUGCAAGAUUUGUCCAUGUUGUCACUUUAGCAGAAAACUGGUUAUCCCAAUUUUUAGUAAAGUGCAUAUGUUGAUGCAUAUAAUGCUAGAGAUUAUAGCCAAUAUAACUAGAAAAUGCCAUUCUGCCCUAAUUUGCUUUAAAUCAAGUGCAAACAAAAAUACCCCUCUAUAGAGGGAUAAUUUUAUCCCUCUACAGAGGUAUAAUCACCAUACAGGGGGUCUGUUCCCAACCUGUUAACUCUAAAGUAUAGGGAUAUCCGGUCGUUCUGGCCCCAAACCGAUCCGGCCCCAGGUCAAUCCGGCCCAAAGUCGAUCCGGCCCAAGUCGAUCUGGCCCACGUCGAUCUGUCCCCAAGUUGAUCCGGCCUCAUAAUAAAAUAUGAAUAAACUAUAUUCACUAUAUGGAGGAAUUUGUGACAAAUUUGAACAGUAAAAACUUUGAAAGUCAUGGCGAUUUUUAUUUUAGUUACUUCUCACACAGAGUAGCUAAAUAAAUAUUUACAGUAAUAAAAAUUGACGUGAGCAGAAGAUUAUAAAAUUUUGAAAUGUUCGUUACUUGCUUCUGUUUAUUAAAGUUUACAUGUUGUUUCAUUGAAUUGUCUAUAAUAUACUCUCAUUACUAUCAAAUUUUAACUUUUAGUAGUUAUAUUUCAUUCUGAAAUUGACAAGAAAAUGUGUUUCUGUAUUUUGUCACUACAGUAACGUACAUUUCGUUUUGGUCGAAACACCAGGAAGUCCUUAAUUUUAGAUAUAUAUCAAGUUUCUAUUAUAAUGUUGCACUUUAUCAUCGUUUUUCCAACAUUUCUCAACACUCUCUCCUUCAGAAUACAAAAAAGAUUUUAUUUAAUUUUUUAACCAUUUUUAGAAAAUGUUCGUUACUUUCAUAAGCCUGCGGAAAAUAUAUGGGUUUUACUAAACACCGACUUUUUUGAACUGAUUAACUUUCAUAUUUUGUAUACUAUGUCAAUUUGCAGGAUGUCAUAUAACUUUGUCAUCACAAAAUAUCCAGAUUAUUGACAUAUUCCGGAAUUAAACGCAACCUUUUAAAUAAUUUUGCCAGGAGUUUUACUCUGUCAAAAGAUAUGCAAUUUUGAAUUAGUGAGAAAAGAGUGAAAAAGUACAACAGUAGGUAAUUGUUGAAACGGGAAAGUCAUUUACGGCAUAUGUUAAGCGAUCACACCCAUUAUUCAAACGAGGAUAUUCGUAAAAUAAAAACACUUGAAUAUCUAUUGGAGUACCUGCAGCGUAACGGACAUUUUAAACUAGUUUUAGAACAGUAUUUUAGCCUGUAGUUGGCGAAUCGUGAAACGAAAACCCUUUGUUAUUUGUUCAAAUGCUUUUAUAUCGAGCAAGACAACAUAUCAAGGAAACAAAAUCAGCAUGAAUUGUUGGGUUUGUUUUCCUUCAAAUUUUCGAUAUUGAAAUAUCGCAAAUGCACCCCCUUAUUGAAAAUGCGUGUAAAUGCACAUUUUCACUCUCUAAAAUAUAAUAUCAUCUACUAUUAAUAUAACAAUAAAUUCAUACACACUAUCAAACACACUAUCUCUGACACUCACAUACUUAUAUAUAACUUUUAAAUCAUUUACACUGUCACUUUCUUAAAGGGGUCACACUUGCAGCACUACAAUAUCAUAUACAGCAACUGUCAUACGCCGUACAUAUAUAAUAUUUGCUCAUCAAGAAAAAAUGCACUAUAUGAUCAUUCUAAACAUAUAUAUAAUAUUUGCUCAUCAAGAACAAAAGAAGGAUUCGGCAAAUCAAACAACAUUUCUCAAAUUGAGAAAUUUUAAGAACUUAAAACAAAAACAAAGUUUGUAUGUAUCAGCUUGGGGAUCGGCUUGUACCGUUGUGUAUAUAUGUAACUAUUUGUUAUUACACAAGAUGAAAGACUUGUUAGAAUCACAGUUGCUGAUUAAUAUUGAUGUCUGAUUUCUUAAAUAUAUAUGUUUUAAUAUGUACCCAAUAAUCUUGAAAACUUGUAAUAAAAACAUCAUAUUCAACCUAGUUGUUUUAUACUCAUUUAAGAAAGUAUUUUUCAAAGGCCUUUUUUAUUUUUUUUCCCGUAUACCUUUUACAUAAUAAAAAUCAUAAACAUUUAUGAAUUACAAUUAAUAUAUAUCUUUAUUUUUAUUCCUCAGUUGUAAAUAUAUUUUUUAUUGGGGCCGGAUCGACAUUACAUAUGGGCCGGAUUGACGUGGGGCCGGAUUGAUGUGGGCCGGAUCGACUUGGGCCGGAUCGAUGUGGGGCCGGAUCAACCCGAAAGCAGUAUAGGGACCCUUAAAGUAAAAGAAGGCCGACAUGGCUGCGAUGUUUAAGCCCACAGCUCUUAUUUCUUAUCUUUCCAUUCAUUGGUGAUGGGGGUUAGGACCUUUAUUGGGACUCCUGGAUUGGGUGUUUUUAAGCUCUUGAUUUUGGCAUUGACCCGUUUGGGAUGUCUGGAUUUAAAUUUAUUUAAAUUCGGGACUUCAGGAUUUUGUGUUUUUAAGCCAAGGAUUUCGGGAUCAGGACCCCUCCUACCCCCCUCUAUUUGUCCGUUGUGAGGUCGACUAUCCAUAUAUGAUAUUGGAAUUUGACUUUAAUAUAUGAACAGUCGACCUCCUGAUGGAUAGAUAAACAAUGCCUUUGGUAAAGGCAGCCACUACCGUGAAUGUCAAAGAAAAAAAAAAAAAAAGCAAUGUACAGGUUGAGAACUAUUCACACACACUUGUUUCUGUCAAUGUGGGGUAAACUAUCCACACCCGUACGAAAAAUCACUUACAAUCACUUUGAUUAUUAUUUAUUUGUAUCUCAAUUUCUGAUUAAAGUUAUAAUAUAUUUACAGUGAUCAGAAUUUCCUUAAAAUACUAUUCAAAUAUAUUAUAAUGCUUUUAACAUGUAUAAUGUAUUUGAUAAUUUCAGACUAUAUUCCAUAGGAUGGAUAUCAUAAAGCAAUUGUUCACCCAUACCUGGACAUUAGAGGAAUGGUUAACACUGGUAGACAUUUCUAAUAACUUAUUUCAAGAUACAGAUUCCCUACAGUAAGAUCCUAUAUAAAUAUGUUUGUUGUGUUGUUACAAUUGAUGAAACUGUUGUGUGUUGUGUUUGUCCUGUUUUGUUACAGUUGAUGAAACUGUUGUGUGUUGUGUUUGUCCUGUUUUGUUACAGUUGAUGAUACUAUUGUGUCUGUCGUGUUUUGUUACAGUUGAUGAUACUGCUGUGUCUGUCGUGGUUUGUUACAGUUGAUGAUACUGCUGUGUCUGUCAUGGUUUGUUACAGUUGAUGAUACUGUUGUGUCUGUCGUGUUUUGUUACAGUGGAUGAUACUGUUGUGUCUGUCGUGGUUUGUUACAGUGGAUGAUACUGUUGUGUCUGUCGUGGUUUGUUACAGUGGAUGAUACUGUUGUGUCUGUCGUGGUUUGUUACAGUGGAUGAUACUGUUGUGUCUGUCGUGGUUUUUUACAGUUGAUGAUACUGCUGUGUCUGUCGUGGUUUGUUACAGUUUAUGAAUCAUGAUACUGUUGUCUUUCGUGUUUUGUUACAGUUGAUGAUACUGUUGUGUCUGUCGUGGUUUGUUACAGUUGAUGAUACUAUUGUGUCUGUCGUGUUUUGUUACAGUUUAUGAUACUGCUGUGUCUGGCGUUUUUUUACAGUUGAGAUACUGUAGUGUGUCUGUUGGUUUUGUUACAGUUGAUGAUACUGUUGUGUCUGUCGUGGUUUGUUACAGUUUAUGAAUCAUGAUACUGUUGUCUUUCGUGUUUUGUUACAGUUGAUGAUACUGUUGUGUCUGUCGUGGUUUGUUACAGUUGAUGAUACUAUUGUGUCUGUCGUGUUUUGUUACAGUCUAUGAUACUGCUGUGUCUGUCGUGGUUUUUUACAGUUGAUGAUACUGUAGUGUGUCUGUUGUGUUUUGUUACAGUUGAUGAUACUGUUGUGUCUGUCGUGGUUUGUUACAGUUGAUGAUACUAUUGUGUCUGUCGUGUUUUGUUACAGUGAUGAUACUGUUGUGUUUUCGUGGUUUGUUACAGUUGAUGAUACUAUUGUGUCUGUCGUGUUUUGUUACAGUUGAUGAUACUAUUGUCUCUCAUGUUUUGUUACAGUUGAUGAUACUGUUGUGUGUUGUGUCUGUCGUGUUUUGUUACAGUUGAUGAUACUGUGUCUCUCGUGUUUUGUUACAGUUGAUGAUACUGUUGUGUCUUUCGUGGUUUGUUACAGUUGAUGAUACUGUUGUGUCUGUCGUGGUUUGUUACAGUUGAUGAUACUAUUGUGUCUGUCGUGUUUUGUUACAGUUGAUGAUACUGUUGUCUCUCGUGUUUUGUUACAGUUGAUGAUACUGUUGUGUCUUUCGUGGUUUGUUACAGUUGAUGAUACUAUUGUGUCUGUCGUGGUUUGUUACAGUUGAUGAUACUGUUGUCUCUCGUGUUUUGUUACAGUUUAUGAUACUGUUGUGUCUUUCGUGGUUUGUUACAGUUGAUGAUACUGUAGUGUGUCUGUUGUGUUUUGUUACAGUUGAUGAUACUAUUGUGUUGUGAUGUUACAAAUAUUUCCUCUUCUUUUUAAUAUGUCUGGUAUCUUCAAAAAAGUUUCAAAAAACAUGUCAUGAAAUUUCUAGGCAAUAAUUCAAUCAUUAGACAAUAUUUCUGAAGUUGUGGACUGUAAUUUUAAGUUUUGUCAGAUCACAAACUUGGUCCCAUUGAAUACUAUUAAGUAUGUAUAUAAAUGUGCAAGAUUUCGAAAUUUUGUAGAUAAUAAGGACAUACUAAGAUAAUGUGUAUAUAUAUGGACAGGAAAUUACAAUUCUAUGAUUUUUCUAGGAGUUUAUAUACAUCUUUUAAUUAAGAAUUGCUGAUGUAAUAUACUACUAAAACAGUUUGUAAGCACAACAGAUUUUCAUGAAAAAUGUUAAUGAGAACAUGAUAUGUAGAUAUGCAUAUCCACAAGAAUUGUUUAUCAGUUGAGUUAUGAGUAAGAGUUAUGAGUCUUUCAACUUUGGAAUCUGAUGAGAUGGUGUUUGUUAAGUGACUCACAAAGUUUCUUUAGUUGAAAAACUUAAAGCUGAAUUUUUGUAUGAAAUUUAUAGUGCUCAUAAUAUUUUUUACAUUCGAAGCUUCUCUAGCACAUAAGAUUGUGUAUAUUAUGGAUAUAAUAAAUUCUUGUGUGUGACAUUUGUGAUGCCAGUAUUAUUAAGAAUGGAAAGAUAGGAUUUGCAUACCUGUCAACCUGUGACGAUGAAAAUGCAUGUCAUGACCUGCAUUGAAGAAUCAAAUCUCAGGUUAUAAUGCGUAGGAACUUUUUUGAGCUGAAUUUCAGUAUUUAUGGUACAUUUUCUUAUAAUGUAUAUCAAAGAUACCAAAACAUCAAUGCAUGUUCACUUUGUUAAGUCAUUUUAAAUCUUAUUAAAUAUUAUUUCAUUGCACUUUUAAAGAUUUUUAUAAAUUUGUGUAACUCAGUCUUAUGUGCUUUACUUUUUAAAAAAUAUACUACAAUUAUCAAAUGUGUAGGAACUUUUUUGAGCUGAAUUUCAGUAUUUAUGGUACAUUUUCUUAUAAUGUAUAUCAAAGAUACCAAAACAUCAAUGCAUGUCACUUUUAAGUCAUUUUAAAUCUUAUUAAAUAUUAUUUCAUUGCACUUUUAAGAUUUUUUAUAAAUUUGUGUAACUCAGUCUUAUGUGCUUUACUUUUUAAAAAAUAUACUACAAUUAUCAAACACCAGAAUUCAAUGUAAUUCUUAAAUAUUUGAGACUAUUGACUUGUGUAGCCUUUAACCAUAAUAUUUUCAUUUAACAAGGAAAUUAGACUAUCAUAAAAUAUAGUAAUACAGUUAAAGGAAGUAUAAAUGUAAAAAAUAAUUUUCAACUUUUUUUAAAAAUUGUAUAAAGAUAUAAAAAUAAUGAAAAGUUAUUUUUCAAUAUGUAUUUGAAUUUUAUAUUUAUGAUUUAAUCUUUUUCACCAUAAACGUAAUAUAAGGAAUAAUUUUGAAUGGUGACAAAUAAGGGGAAGUAACUCUAGUUCAGUUUGUAAACCGAUGGUGCAAUUUAUUUAAGACCUAAAGCUACUUAGGUAAUUGGUGUUAAUUAACAGUGGUUACACAAAGCUGUCAAUGAACAUGCACUUAAUGGGUCACUUAAUUUGACCGUUUACAUAGUAGAUGAUCUUCCUGUUCAUGGAAGAAUUACGAAUUUGCCGGUAUUUCAAAGAAUUACUUAUGAACAAUUCAAGCUAAGAAAUACGGGUGAAAUAGGGUCAUUUUCGGAAUUCCCGGGUCAUUUCAAUGACCCGACGGGUGUUCCGGGUGAUCCCUCAGAAUUGUGAAAAUCUCGGGUCACACUCGCAGAAUACGGGUCAGUUGACAGGUAUGGAUUUGUUCUACAUGUUCUAAGAAGCUGAUUUCAUGACUUUUGCAUAACAGUUAAAACCCAUUCGUUAUAUUAUAGGUAUAGAGAUGUUUUGAAAACUACCAUAGUAGCAGACCAGCAGGAAGAGUUGCCUACCUUUCAUUCCUUCAGUCAAGUUUCUCAACAGAGGGAGCUUUUGUUGCAUGUUAUACAGGUAUGCAAAUAAAUGUACAUCUAACAUGCAAAAGAAAUUGUCUAAAAAGAAUUAUUUAUUUACAUCUUCAAACCACAACAUAAAUUACAGUUCCGUAUACAUGCUCAAUUAUUUGAAAAAAGAAUAUUGCAUUUUAUGUUUUGAUUAGGCCUAUUCUAAAACUUGGUAUGUAAAUUUAGUUCACAUGAUAUUUAAAUUGGUAGCUUUAUCAUGAGAUCUGCAAAAUAUCAAGUAACUGGCAUAAUACAAUAAACAAUUAAACAGAUUAAAUGAUAGGUUUUAAAGAUAUUCAAAUUUAUGAUUUAUGAUAAUUUAGGGACAAAAAUUCACAUGACAAAAAUAGAAAUAAGGACUCUGUUGGUAACAAAAUAAACAAUAUUUUGAACCAGAUGACCUAAUAUACAGUUUUUCAUUUCGAACUAUACAUAUUAAUUCUACCACUGCAUUCACUGAUUGGAUAUUUCUCCAGGCAAUACAGUUAAAUUUAUAUUAUCAAAAUCUAAAACUCAAGGCUUGCCAAGCAUUUUAACUAUUUAAAAUUUGAAUGUCUCAGAGUGCAAAAGUAUUGUUUUCCAGGAAAUUCAGUGGUUAAAGCUACAGUUGUGUAUGUUUCUCAUGUUUUUUUAGGUAAACAUUAUCUUUCUUUUCCAAUCAUCUGCUUCAAAUUCAAAGAAAGCAAGAAAAUUUGAUGUCAUAAUUUGAUUUUGACCAAUGAAGAAAUAAAAAAAGAAACUUACAUCUCAUUGAUUGGUGAAAAAGUGACCACAAAAGGUCAGAGAAAGAAUAAGUCGUAUAAUAAUAUUGAAGUUUUGAAACACAAAUUCUGUUUAAAUAUUUUUUUUCAAUUACAGAAAUUAAAGAAGAGGAAUGAAAAGAAUGUAUUAAUUCUUGGAUUUUCUGCGG